GUAGGUGGCAAGCGUUGUCCGGAAUUAUUGGGCGUAAAGCGCGCGCAGGCGGUUCUUUAAGUCUGAUGUGAAAGCCCACGGCUCAACCGUGGAGGGUCACUGGAAACUGGAGAACUUGAGUACAGAAGAGGAAAGCGGAAUUCCACGUGUAGCGGUGAAAUGCGUAGAGAUGUGGAGGAACACCAGUGGCGAAGGCGGCUUUCUGGUCUGUAACUGACGCUGAGGCGCGAAAGCGUGGGGAGCAAACAGGAUUAGAUACCCUGGUAGUCCACGCCGUAAACGAUGAGUGCUAAGUGUUAGGGGGUUUCCGCCCCCCUUAGUGCUGCAGCUAACGCAUUAAGCACUCCGCCUGGGAGUACGGCCGCAAGGCUG
rnacentral:rRNA from 1 species